rnacentral:rRNA from 1 species
GAUGAACGCUGGCGGCGUGCCUAAUACAUGCAAGUCGAGCGAACAGAUGAGGAGCUUGCUCCUCUGACGUUAGCGGCGGACGGGUGAGUAACACGUGGAUAACCUACCUAUAAGACUGGGAUAACUUCGGGAAACCGGAGCUAAUACCGGAUAAUAUAUUGAACCGCAUGGUUCAAUAGUGAAAGACGGUUUUGCUGUCACUUAUCGAUGGAUCCGCGCCGCAUUAGCUAGUUGGUAAGGUAACGGCUUACCAAGGCAACGAUGCGUAGCCGACCUGAGAGGGUGAUCGGCCACACUGGAACUGAGACACGGUCCAGACUCCUACGGGAGGCAGCAGUAGGGAAUCUUCCGCAAUGGGCGAAAGCCUGACGGAGCAACGCCGCGUGAGUGAUGAAGGUCUUCGGAUCGUAAAACUCUGUUAUUAGGGAAGAACAAAUGUGUAAGUAACUAUGCACGUCUUGACGGUACCUAAUCAGAAAGCCACGGCUAACUACGUGC